UACGAACUGUGCGAACGUUAUUCGGAAUCACUGGGCUUAAAGGGUGCGUAGGCGGCGAUUCAAGUCAGGUGUGAAAUCCCCCGGCUCAACCGGGGAACGUGCGCUUGAAACUGGAUUGCUCGAGUGAGGCAGGGGUGUAUGGAACUUCCGGUGGAGCGGUGAAAUGUGUAGAUAUCGGAAGGAACGCCGGCGGCGAAAGCGGUACACUGGGCCUUGUCUGACGCUGAGGCACGAAAGCUAGGGGAGUGAACGGGAUUAGAUACCCUUGUAGU
rnacentral:rRNA from 1 species